UGGGCUGUGGCUCCGUGGUAGAGCACUUGCCUCAUAAGCAUGAGGUGCUGGGUUUAAUCCUCAGCAUCACAU
rnacentral:tRNA from 1 species